rnacentral:rRNA from 1 species
CAAAGAGAAGCAAGACCGUGAGGUGGAGCAAAACUCAAAAACUUAGUCUCAGUUCGGAUUGUAGGCUGAAACUCGCCUACAUGAAGCUGGAGUUGCUAGUAAUCGCGAAUCAGCAUGUCGCGGUGAAUACGUUCCCGGGCCUUGUACACACCGCCCGUCACACCAUGAGAGUUGGCAAUACCCAACGUACGUGAUCUAACCCGCAAGGGAGGAAGCGUCCUAAGGUAGGGUCAGCGAUUGGGGUGAAGUCGUAACAAGGUAAC